CCUUUGACGUUAGCGGCGGACGGGUGAGUAACACGUGGGUAACCUACCUAUAAGACUGGGAUAACUUCGGGAAACCGGAGCUAAUACCGGAUAAUAUUUCGAACCGCAUGGUUCGAUAGUGAAAGGUGGUUUUGCUAUCACUUAUAGAUGGACCCGCGCCGUAUUAGCUAGUUGGUAAGGUAACGGCUUACCAAGGCGACGAUACGUAGCCGACCUGAGAGGGUGAUCGGCCACACUGGAACUGAGACNCGGUCCAGACUCCUACGGGAGGCAGCAGAG
rnacentral:rRNA from 1 species